UACACUGAUGCCUUAUUUGGAACUUAAAAG
rnacentral:piRNA from 1 species